CUCAGGACGAACGCKGGCGGCGUGCCUAAUACAUGCAAGUCGAACGAACUCUGGUAUUGAUUGGUGCUUGCAUCAUGAUUUACAUUUGAGUGAGUGGCGAACUGGUGAGUAACACGUGGGAAACCUGCCCAGAAGCGGGGGAUAACACCUGGAAACAGAUGCUAAUACCGCAUAACAACUUGGACCGCAUGGUCCGAGCUUGAAAGAUGGCUUCGGCUAUCACUUUUGGAUGGUCCCGCGGCGUAUUAGCUAGAUGGUGGGGUAACGGCUCACCAUGGCAAUGAUACGUAGCCGACCUGAGAGGGUAAUCGGCCACAUUGGGACUGAGACACGGCCCAAACUCCUACGGGAGGCAGCAGUAGGGAAUCUUCCACAAUGGACGAAAGUCUGAUGGAGCAACGCCGCGUGAGUGAAGAAGGGUUUCGGCUCGUAAAACUCUGUUGUUAAAGAAGAACAUAUCUGAGAGUAACUGUUCAGGUAUUGACGGUAUUUAACCAGAAAGCCACGGCUAACUACGUGCCAGCAGCCGCGGUAAUACGUAGGUGGCAAGCGUUGUCCGGAUUUAUUGGGCGUAAAGCGAGCGCAGGCGGUUUUUUAAGUCUGAUGUGAAAGCCUUCGGCUCAACCGAAGAAGUGCAUCGGAAACUGGGAAACUUGAGUGCAGAAGAGGACAGUGGAACUCCAUGUGUAGCGGUGAAAUGCGUAGAUAUAUGGAAGAACACCAGUGGCGAAGGCGGCUGUCUGGUCUGUAACUGACGCUGAGGCUCGAAAGUAUGGGUAGCAAACAGGAUUAGAUACCCUGGUAGUCCAUACCGUAAACGAUGAAUGCUAAGUGUUGGAGGGUUUCCGCCCUUCAGUGCUGCAGCUAACGCAUUAAGCAUUCCGCCUGGGGAGUACGGCCGCAAGGCUGAAACUCAAAGGAAUUGACGGGGGCCCGCACAAGCGGUGGAGCAUGUGGUUUAAUUCGAAGCUACGCGAAGAACCUUACCAGGUCUUGACAUACUAUGCAAAUCUAAGAGAUUAGACGUUCCCUUCGGGGACAUGGAU
rnacentral:rRNA from 1 species